rnacentral:rRNA from 2 species
CUUCCGUAGGUGAACCUGCGGAAGGAUCAUUAGUGAAUAUAGGACGUCCAACUUAACUUGGAGUCCGAACUCUCACUUUCUAACCCUGUGCACUUGUUUGGGAUAGUAACUCUCGCAAGAGAGCGAACUCCUAUUCACUUAUAAACACAAAGUCUAUGAAUGUAUUAAAUUUUAUAACAAAAUAAAACUUUCAACAACGGAUCUCUUGGCUCUCGCAUCGAUGAAGAACGCAGCGAAAUGCGAUAAGUAAUGUGAAUUGCAGAAUUCAGUGAAUCAUCGAAUCUUUGAACGCACCUUGCGCUCCAUGGUAUUCCGUGGAGCAUGCCUGUUUGAGUGUCAUGAAUACUUCAACCCUCCUCUUUCUUAAUGAUUGAAGAGGUGUUUGGUUUCUGAGCGCUGCUGGCCUUUACGGUCUAGCUCGUUCGUAAUGCAUUAGCAUCCGCAAUCGAACUUCGGAUUGACUUGGCGUAAUAGACUAUUCGCUGAGGAAUUCUAGUCUUCGGACUAGAGCCGGGUUGGGUUAAAGGAAGCUUCUAAUCAGAAUGUCUACAUUUUAAGAUUAGAUCUCAAAUCAGGUAGGACUACCCGCUGAACUUAAGCAUAUCAAUAAGCGGAGGAAAG